GUCUUCUUGACUGGAUAAUAAGAAGUCUGACCUGCCCAGUGAAAAAUUAUUUAACGGCCGCGGUAUUUUGACCGUGCAAAGGUAGCAUAAUCAUUAGUCUUUUAAUAGAGGGCUGGUAUGAAAGGUUUGACGAGGUGCUGACUGUCUCAUUUAAUUUGAAAUUAAAAUUUAACUUUUCAGUCAAAAGGCUGAAAUAAUAUUGGAAGACGAGAAGACCCUAUAGAGCUUUAUAUUUAAUUUAUUAAUGAUUUUUUGGGUAUUAAUUUUUAUUAUUAAUUUAAGUAUUUUGUUGGGGUGACAAAAACAUAAAAUUAACUUUUUUAUCUAUUAAACAUUAAUUUAUGGUUAUUAGAUCCAAUCUUAUUGAUUGUUAGAAUAAGUUACCUUAGGGAUAACAGCGUAAUCUUCCUCCAGAGUUCAUAUUUACAGGAAGGCUUGCGACCUCGAUGUUGGAUUAAGAUAAUAAUUAGGUGUAGCCGCUUAAUAUAUAGGUCUGUUCGACCUUUAAAUUCUU
rnacentral:rRNA from 1 species